rnacentral:rRNA from 1 species
ACACAUGACAAGUCGAACGGUAGAGGGGGCAACCCCCUCGAGAGUGGCGAACGGGUGAGUAAUAUAUCGGAACGUGCCCAGUCGGUGGGGGAUAACGCAGCGAAAGUUACGCUAAUACCGCAUACGAUCUACGGAUGAUCUCGCGGCCUAUCAGCUUGUUGGUGAGGUAAUGGCUCACCAAGGCGACGACGGGUAGCCGGCCUGAGAGGGCGACCGGCCACACUGGGACUGAGACACGGCCCAGACUCCUACGGGAGGCAGCAGGUGGGGAAUCUUAGACAAGUCGGGGGAAACCCUGAUCUAGCCAUGCCGCGUGAGCGAUGAAGGCCUUAGGGUUGUAAAGCUCUUUCAGUGGGGAAGAUAAUGACUGUACCCACAGAAGAAGCCCCGGCUAACUCCGUG